rnacentral:rRNA from 1 species
UACGGAGGGGGCUAGCGUUGCUCGGAAUCACUGGGCGUAAAGGGCGCGUAGGCGGCUUGACAAGUCAAAGGUGAAAUCCCUCGGCUCAACUGAGGAACUGCCUUUGAAACUGUCUGGCUUGAGGCCGGGAGGGGGUAGCGGAAUUCCCAGUGUAGCGGUGAAAUGCGUAGAUACUGGGAGGAACACCAGUGGCGAAGGCGGCUACCUGGACCGGUUCUGACGCUGAGGCGCGAAAGCGUGGGUAGCAAACAGGG